ACGGCUCAGUAACACGUGGAUAACCUGCCCUAAGGUGGAGGAUAACCCCGGGAAACUGGGGAUAAUACUCCAUAGGUUAAAGGUACGGGAAUGUUCUUUAACCGAAAGUUCCGGCGCCUCAGGAUGGAUCUGCGGCCGAUUAGGUUGUUGUUGGGGUAGUGGCCCAACAAGCCUGUAAUCGGUACGGGUUGUGGGAGCAAGAGCCCGGAGAUGGAAUCUGAGACACGAUUCCAGGCCCUACGGGGCGCAGCAGGCGCGAAAACUUUACAAUGCAGGAAACUGUGAUAAGGGAACCCCGAGUGCCCGUAUAUGCGGGCUGUCCGGAUGUUUAAAACGCAUCCGAAGGAAGGGCCGGGCAAGACCGGUGCCAGCCGCCGCGGUAAUACCGGCGGCUCGAGUGGUGGCCACUUUUAUUGGGCUUAAAGCGUUCGUAGCUUGAAUAAUAAGUCUCUUGGGAAAUCUGCAGGCUUAACCUGCAGGCGUUUAAGAGAAACUGUUGUUCUAGGAACCGGAAGAGGUGAGAGGUACUCCGGGGGUAGGAGUGAAAUCCUGUAAUCCCCGGGGGACCACCGAUGGCGAAGGCAUCUCACCAGGACGGCUUCGACAGUGAGGAACGAAAGCUGGGGGAGCGAACCGGAUUAGAUACCCGGGUAGUCCCAGCCGUAAACGAUGUGCGUUAGGUGUGCCGGUGACCACGAGUCACUGGGGGUGCCGAAGGGAAACCGUGAAACGUACCGCCUGGGAAGUACGGUCGCAAGGCUGAACUUAAAGGAAUUGGCGGGGGAGCAC
rnacentral:rRNA from 1 species